GGAGUCCCGCUUCCCCUGGACCGGAGGCUGCCAUCUCCAGUCCUACCCACUCCGACGCUGGCUGGUGCCGGGGGCCGGGACGCUCCGUACGCCGCCCGCCAGGGUGUGGAGCCGCACUGGGGCAAGAUCAGGUGGGACAGCCCAAAGACUCCGGGCCAAGUUCCUGGGGGACUCGGCGGAGAUGGAAGAUGAUUCUCGAAGCUCUCCAUUUCCUUAAUUUUGAGUUAUCUUCAGUCCUUCUUCAAUGCUGUGACUGAGUGCUUGCUGAUUAUUGUGCUUGCUGAUCCUGACUAAUACUCUCUCUUGAUGAGCUUCAUAUUCAUCACGACUUGGAUAAAUUUUGCUGAUGAGUGCAUCAAACUUUGGGUCUGGCCUUGGUGAUCUUUUGGAAACUAGUUUUUUCCAACAGACUCUCUGUCAUCUCACUGGAGUCUUCAUUUCCACUUGUGCCCAUGCCCAUUCUCCAUUUUCAGCUAAGUAAUACUGCAUUAUAAAACCCAACAUUUGGCCGGGCAUAGUGGCUCACACCUGUAAUCCCAGCACUUUGGGAAGCCGAGGCGGGUGGAUCACUUGAGGUCAGGAGUUCGAGACCAGCCUGAUCAACGUGGAGAAACCCCGCUUCUACUAAAAAUACAAAAUUAGCCUGGCAUGGUGGCACAUGACUGUAAUCCCAGCUACUUGGGAGGCUGAAGCAGGAGAAUCGCUUGAACCCAGGAGGAGGAGGUUGCAGUGAGCCAAGACCGCACCAAUGUACUCCAGUCUGGGCAACAAGAGCGAAACUCCAUCUCAAACAAAACAAAACAAACAAAAAAACAUAAUUUGAGCACAUCUCCCCCUGGCUUAAAAAAUUUCUAAUAAUUCUGUUCCCACCAUCUUGGUUCCUGUGGAGGCCUGCUGGGAAUAGGAACAGGACUUCUAAAAGGAACUAUGUCUGGAGAGCUGUGGUCCAAGGCCAUUUUUGCCAGCUAUAAGCAGGGUCUCCGGAACCAAAGGGAGUAGACUGCUCUUCUUAAAAUUGAAGAUGUUUAUGCCCAUGAUGAAACAGAAGUCUAUUUGGGCAAGAGAUGCGCUUAUGUACACAAAGCAAAGAACAACACAGUGACAUCUGGCAGCAAACCAAAAAAACCAGAGUAAUCUGGGUAAAGGUAACUUGGGCCCACGGAAACAGUGGCCUGAUUCGUGGCAAAUUCUGAAGCAAUCUUCCUGCUAAGGCUAUUGGACACAGAUCUGAGUGAUGCUGGACCCCUCAAGGAUUUAAACUAAUGAAAAGUCAAUAAAUAAAUGUGGAUUUGUGCUCUUGUAUUUUAUUUUUUUUUUUUGAGAUGGAGUCUCACUCUGUCACCCAGGCUGGAGUGCAGUAGUGUGAUCUCAGCUCACUGCAACCUCUGCCUCCCGGAUUCAAGCAAUUCUCCUGCCUCAACCUCCCGAGUAGCUGGGAUUACAGGCGCGCGCCACCAUGCCUGGCUAAUUUUUUUUGUAUUUUUAGUAGAGACGUUGUUUCACCAUGCUGGUCAGGCUGGUCUCGAACUCCUGACCUCGUGAUCCACCUGCCUCGGCCUCACAAAGUGCUGGGAUUAUAGGCACAAGCUACCACACUUGGCCUGUGCUCUUGUAUUUUUAAGUGUAUUAAAAAACUUACUACCUUAAAAAAAAUUUCUAAUUGUUCUAUUAUCAGGAUGAUGUCGCA
rnacentral:lncRNA from 1 species